AUUUGGUGGUGAUAUGCAAAGAACAAAAAUAAACAUGCAAUGCAAUUGUUUCAAUUGGUUUUGAGAAACUAUGGAUGAAUGGUGUUAUUGGGGGUUUACAAUUUCAUCUUAUCCACUCUCAUAUAUCUACUCUUCUUAUUUAAUUCACUUAUCUAUCUAAUUGCCAUGCAUACUUUCUUAAUUACCCUUAACCCAAUCCCUUGGUGAAAAUAGCCUAUUACUAACUACCGGCUUGCUAUCCCUAGCCUCCCCUAGUAACCAAUAAUGCAAUGCGAUCUGAAGCAAAUACAAUUGA
rnacentral:lncRNA from 1 species